UUUAGGGGAAGGACAAAGGAACGGAAAAGAGUUCAUCGCAGUUCUUCACAUCCUCUACCCCCAUCUCCUUAUUCUCAUACUUCCAGGGAGGCUGUGGGAACAGGUCUGUUCUCAGAGAACCCAGUGAAUGGUAGUCUUCUACCCACUAUACAAGGCUGUUUCCAAACUCCUCAUUCUGACAGUCAAGGCCCUCUAGAACGUGAACCCAUUUCACUUGUCUAGAAGUAUCUUCUACUACCCUCCACCAAGCACCUUCCACUCAAGGUCAAUAAAGCAGUAUGAACAAGAGUUUGGAGACUGGAGCCAGACUGUAAAGAGCUGUGAAUACCAGAAUGAGGAGUCUGGAAUUUUCUUGCAUCAUCUGAAAGCCAUUGGACAUUCCUGAAUAUGGCAGUGAGAAGUCUGAAAUCUGUGUUUUAGCAAGAUUAUUAUGGUGAAGUAGAGCAUAUAGGAUAGCCUGGAAGGGGGAAGAUACUGGAAACAAGGAGACCAGUUAACAAGCCAUGAUCCCUCACCCAGGUGCUCUUUUCUUCUCAUGCCCUUACCAGUACAUCCUUCAGCACCAUUCUCCUCCUUGACCUCCUCAUAG